rnacentral:rRNA from 1 species
UGAUGCAGCCAUGCCGCGUGGUGUGAAGAAGGCCUUCGGGUUGUAAAGCACUUUCAGUUGUGAGGAAAGGUUGGUAGUUAAUACCUGCCAGCUGUGACGUUAACAACAGAAGAAGCACCGGCUAACUCCGUGCCAGCAGCCGCGGUAAUACGGAGGGUGCGAGCGUUAAUCGGAAUUACUGGGCGUAAAGCGCACGCAGGCGGUUUGUUAAGCUAGAUGUGAAAGCCCCGGGCUCAACCUGGGAUGGUCAUUUAGAACUGGCAGACUAGAGUCUUGGAGAGGGGAGUGGAAUUCCAGGUGUAGCGGUGAAAUGCGUAGAUAUCUGGAGGAACAUCAGUGGCGAAGGCGGCUCCCUGGCCAAAGACUGACGCUCAUGUGCGAAAGUGUGGGUAGCGAACAGGAUUAGAUACCCUGGUAGUCCACACCGUAAACGCUGUCUACUAGCUGUUUGUGAAUUUAAUUCGUGAGUAGCGAAGCUAACGCGAUAAGUAGACCGCCUGGGGAGUACGGCCGCAAGGUUAAAACUCAAACGAAUUGACGGGGGCCCGCACAAGCGGUGGAGCAUGUGGUUUAAUUCGAUGCAACGCGAAGAACCUUACCUACACUUGACAUGCAGAGAACUUUCCAGAGAUGGAUUGGUGCCUUCGGGAACUCUGACACAGGUGCUGCAUGGCUGUCGUCAGCUCGUGUCGUGAGAUGUUGGGUUAAGUCCCGCAACGAGCGCAACCCUUGUCCUUAGUUGCCAGCAUUUAGUUGGGCACUCUAAGGAGACUGCC